rnacentral:rRNA from 1 species
UACGGAGGGGGCUAGCGUUGUUCGGAAUUACUGGGCGUAAAGCGCACGUAGGCGGCUUUGUAAGUUAGAGGUGAAAGCCCGGGGCUCAACCCCGGAAUUGCCUCUAAGACUGCAUCGCUAGAAUUGUGGAGAGGUGAGUGGAAUUCCGAGUGUAGAGGUGAAAUUCGUAGAUAUUCGGAAGAACACCAGUGGCGAAGGCGACUCACUGGACACAUAUUGACGCUGAGGUGCGAAAGCGUGGGGAGCAAACAGG